rnacentral:tRNA from 1 species
GGUCUGGUGGUGUAGUUGGUUAUCACGUCAGUCUAACAGUUCGGCUGAGCACACUGAAGGUCUCCGGUUCAAGUCCGGGCUAGAUCA